rnacentral:misc_RNA from 1 species
UGGUUUGCUUCGGGUGGAUGGCUCUUGCUUGUGCAACAACUUCCACCUGACUUACCUCUUCAGUUAUUUGUUUAGGCUUGUAUUUCCUAAACAAAUUGUGGGUUUCCUGUGCUGCCUACCUAAGUUAUGGUAUUGUCCGGUUUGAUUUAGUCGCUUUCGUCUUGUGUCAUUUUGGUGGCACCUGAUGAACCAUGAAGCAGUCUUUUUGAUCCACAUCGCUAAUGUUUACGUUGAUGUUGUGGCCCAUUGAGWUUUGCUUGGUAUCCUGUAUACGGAACCUGAUGUGGGCAUGGGGUCCCAUGGGAUCCUUGUCCUGCCCUAAUUUAGGCUACGUGCAACUCUUAAUACGACUUCCCGGCUCGAAAUUGGCUAGUUACCAGCGAACGGGUAAUGUCAAAGAGUGGUGCGCCUCUUAGAAUGACUGUCCCGYCUGAAACUGGCUUGUUACCAGCGGGCGGGUAAUGUCAAAGAGGAAUG